AUGAAAAAGCGAAGAUGGUAUGGUAACCCUAACUGCUCUUUCUGUGAUAAUAUUGAAACAUCCCAGCACUUGUUUUUUGCUUGUCCCGUUGCUAAAGUAGUGUGGCGCUGUAUUGGGAUGGCCCUGGGAACUGAUAGGUGCCCGAAUAAUUCCUGGCAAUAUUAUACUUCGUGCAACAUCUUCCUGCCUAGAGGAGAGAAAUACCACACCGUUGGCCUGGCUACCGCGUGCUGGGCUAUCUGGCUUGCUCGUAAUCGAGCUACCUUUGAGAAAAAAAUCAAAACUCCUUUUGAAAUUGUUUUCUCCAUGUGCUCCUUUCUCAUUUAUUGGGCAGGUCUUCAAAGCGAAGGAGGAGUAAAGGAGUUGCAGGGAGGCGCGGAGAUGAUCAGGGCGGGUACAAUGAGUCUGAUGAAGAUGUGCAAUGCGAUGCGCCGACCAAUUGCGAGCGAGUAG
rnacentral:rRNA from 1 species